AUGGAUAAGACCAAUAUAAUCCAUUGGAUUAAUUGGGAAAAGCUAUCAAAGCCAAAAAAAGAUGGAGGUAUAGGUUUUUGGAACCUGCACUAUUUCAACCUAGCUAUGUUGGCUAGACAGGCAUGGAAAAUUCUACAGAAUCCCCAUUCCUUGUGCUCCCAAGUGUUGGCUGCCAGAUAUUUCCCAAAUGGAUCAAUGCUUGAGGCUAUUCCUUGUGCAUGUAUUUCCUAUACUUGGCAAAGCAUAAUAAAAGGCAUACAAUUGCUGGAGAAAGGGAUAAUAUGGAGAGUGGGAAACGGGGAAAGGAUCAAAAUAUGGACUGGUCCGUGGAGGAAACACACGGAGGCCCAAUACACCAAAAGGUAA
rnacentral:rRNA from 1 species